rnacentral:rRNA from 1 species
AGUAUAUGCUUGUCUCAAAGAUUAAGCCAUGCAUGUGUAAGUACACACCCCAUUGAAGGCGAAACCGCGAAUGGCUCAUUAAAUCAGCUGUGGUUUAUUGGAUCUUAAUCCCAGUUACUUGGAUAACUGUGGUAAUUCUAGAGCUAAUACAUGCACCUAGUCUCUGACCGCGAGGGAAGAGCGCUUUUAUUAGUCUACAAAACCGGUCGGGCUUCGGUCCGUAACCUGCUUGUGGUGAAUCUGAAUAACUUUUUGCUGAGCGCAAGGUCUUUUGUACCGGCGCCGUGUCUUUCAAGUGUCUGCCUUAUCAGCUGUCGACUGUAGGUUAUGUGCCUACAAUGGCUAUAACGGGUAACGGGGAAUCGGGUUCGAUUCCGGAGAGGGAGCCUGAGAAACGGCUACCACAUCUAAGGAAGGCAGCAGGCGCGCAAAUUACCCACUCCCGGCUCGGGGAGGUAGUGACGAAAAAUAACGGUGCGAGACUCAUCCGAGGCCUCGCAAUCGGAAUGAGUACACUUUAAAUCCUUUAACGAGGAUCGAUUGGAGGGCAAGUCUGGUGCCAGCAGCCGCGGUAAUUCCAGCUCCAAUAGCAUAUAUUAAAGUUGUUGCRGUUAAAAAGCUCGUAGUUGACCUUCAGUUCUGGACUGACGGCGCACCGCCCGGUGUUCAGCCGUCACGCUCCGAACGGAUGAUAUACCCUGCCGGCCGUCACGGGGUGCUCUUCACCGAGUGUCCCUUGUGGCCGGCGUGUUUACUUUGAAAAAAUUAGAGUGCUCAAAGCAGGCUACGUGAAUGGCCUGAAUGGUGAUGCAUGGAAUAAUGGAAUAGGACCUCGGUUCUAUUUUAUUGGUUUUCUGAACCCGAGGUAAUGACUAAUAGAAACAGGCGGGGGCAUUCGUACUGCGACGCUAGAGGUGAAAUUCUUGGACCGUCGCAAGACGAACUACUGCGAAAGCAUUUGCCAAGGAUGUUUUCAUUAAUCAAGAACGAAAGUUAGAGGUUCGAAGGCGAUCAGAUACCGCCCUAGUUCUAACCAUAAACUAUGCUGACUAGCGAUCCGCCGGCGUUAUUCCCAUGACCCGGCGGGAAGCUUCCGGGAAACCAAAGUUUUUGAGUUCCGGGGGAAGUAUGGUUGCAAAGCUGAAACUUAAAGGAAUUGACGGAAGGGCACCACCAGGAGUGGAGCCUGCGGCUUAAUUUGACUCAACACGGGAAACCUCACCAGGCCCGGACACCAGAAGGAUUGACAGAUUGAGAGCUCUUUCUUGAUUUGGUGGGUGGUGGUGCAUGGCCGUUCUUAGUUGGUGGAGCGAUUUGUCUGGUUAAUUCCGAUAACGAACGAGACUCUAGCCUAUUAACUAGUCGACGGAUUACCAGUCCUUGGUGUCCAGUUCGCAACUUCUUCUUAGAGGGACUAGCGGCAUUCUAGCCGCACGAGAUUGAGCAAUAACAGGUCUGUGAUGCCCUUAGAUGUUCUGGGCCGCACGCGCGCUACACUGAAGGGGCCAGUGUGUUUUCCCCCUCCGAGAGGAGUGGGUAACCCUUGAACCCCGUUCUUGAUAGGGAUUGGGGCUUGUAACUGUUUCCCAUGAACGAGGAAUUCCCAGUAAGCGCAAGUCAUCAGCUUGCGUUGAUUACGUCCCUGCCCUUUGUACACACCGCCCGUCGCUACUACCGAUUGAAUGAUUUAGUGAGGCCUUCGGACUGGCGCUCUUGGAUGUUCCCCUCGUCUCCCUUGUGGCGUCGAGGUUCUCGCCUUGAGCUGACGGAAAGAUGUCCAAACUUGAUCAUUUAGAGGAAGUAAAAGUCGUAACAAGGUUUCCGU